AAGAGCACUGCCACCCAGCUUUUUUCCAGUCUUCUUCCGCAGCAGCUCAUGAGUAUUCAAUCUAUCUUUCCUUCCUGCACAACCAAAGAAAGCACCUAAAUUUGAGUGGCACACUGAGUUUCUAGAGAUGUUUGGCAAACCUGCAUUUGAUGCCUCUUGUGUUGAUGAAGUUAUAUAAGGACGCAGUUGUAAAGGAACCAUUAGAAUCCAAUUUCCAUAACACCUUGUCAGUUUCUUGAAUUGGCGGAGCAUGUGCAAGAAUUCAGUGUGAACUAUCCAAUAUAAAUUGUUUGGAUGGCCGUCGGAAAUCAAGGUACGCUGGAGGAGCUCCUGGGUUCAGCUCAUCAUUGCGCUCUGCAGGGAGAAUUGGCACGAGAGGUAUUCUACAAUUUCCCCUAAUUAAGAAAAGUUCCUCCAUCCAAGCAAUCCUCUCAAAAAUUCUUCACACUUUUUAAACGUGGGGAAAGU
rnacentral:lncRNA from 1 species